rnacentral:rRNA from 1 species
CCUACGGGUGGCAGCAGUGGGGAAUAUUGCACAAUGGGGGAAACCCUGAUGCAGCAACGCCGCGUGGGUGAAGGAGCGUUUCGGCGCGUAAAGCCCUGUCAGCGGGGAAGAAGAAAGACGGUACCCGACCAAGAAGCCCCGGCUAACUACGUGCCAGCAGCCGCGGUAAUACGUAGGGGGCGAGCGUUAUCCGGAAUUACUGGGUUUAAAGGGUGCGUAGGCUGUGAGGUAAGUCAGCGGUGAAAUGCCCCCGCUCAACGGGGUGAAGUGCCAUUGAUACUGCCUUGCUGGAAUGCGGAUGCCGUGGGAGGAAUGUGUGGUGUAGCGGUGAAAUGCAUAGAUAUCACACAGAACACCGAUUGCGAAGGCAUCUCACGAAUCCGCGAUUGACGCUGAUGCACGAAAGCGUGGGUAUCAAACAGGAUUAGAUACCCUGGUAGUC